AAUAGAUACCCUGGUAGUCCACGCCGUAAACGAUGAGUGCUAAGUGUUAGAGGGUUUCCGCCCUUUAGUGCUGCAGCUAACGCAUUAAGCACUCCGCCUGGGGAGUACGGCCGCAAGGCUGAAACUCAAAGGAAUUGACGGGGGCCCGCACAAGCGGUGGAGCAUGUGGUUUAAUUCGAAGCAACGCGAAGAACCUUACCGGGUCUUGACAUCCUCUGACAACCCUAGAGAUAGGGCUUUCCCCUUCGGGGGACAGAGUGACAGGUGGUGCAUGGUUGUCGUCAGCCCGUGUCGUGAGAUGUUGGGUUAAGUCCCGCAACGAGCGCAACCCUUGAUCUUAGUUGCCAGCAUUCAGUUGGGCACUCUAAGGUGACUGCCGGUGACAAACCGGAGGAAGGUGGGGAUGACGUCAAAUCAUCAUGCCCCUUAUGACCUGGGCUACACACGUGUUACAAUGGAUGGUACAAAGGGCUGCAAACCUGCGAAGGUAAGCGAAUCCCAUAAAGCCAUUCUCAGUUCGGAUUGCAGG
rnacentral:rRNA from 1 species